rnacentral:lncRNA from 1 species
AAAUAAACUCAAAAGCUCAUCAACACAUAAUCUUCAAUUUGUUCAUGGGCACUAGAACACCAAACAUGACAAAAUCCAGAAAGUUUCUUCAUGCCAUCUUCAGCCCCUUAAAGUUCCACUCUAGCAGAGGUACAUCUUCUCAAAUAAUUUAUGCUUAUUUUUAUAUAUGCUGUUUUUUUUUUGGAUCUGUAAUCUAAUCAAUCAGAAGGGCAAGAAGAUUCGGAAAGGAUUACAUCUCAAGAACAGAAGGUAUUCACUUUCCAAACCCUAAUUUCUGGUACCAAAGAUUUCCAC